UACGUAGGGACCGAGCGUUGUCCGGAAUCAUUGGGCGUAAAGAGCGUGUAGGCGGCUAUUUAAGUCCUGCGUGAAAUCCUGCGGCUCAACCGCAGACGGUCGUGGGAAACUGGAUGGCUAGAGUGCGGGAGAGGAGAGUGGAAUUCCCGGUGUAGCGGUGAAAUGCGCAGAUAUCGGGAAGAACACCGGUGGCGAAGGCGGCGACCUGGUCCGAUACUGACGCUGAGGCGCGAAAGCGUGGGGAGCAAACAGG
rnacentral:rRNA from 1 species